rnacentral:rRNA from 1 species
UACAGAGGUGCCAAGCGUUAGGCGGAAUCACUGGGCUUAAAGCGCGUGUAGGCGGGUCGUUAAGUGUCUUGUGAAAUCCCACGGCUCAACCGUGGAACUGCUGGGCAUACUGACGAUCUUGAGGCACUCAGGGGCUGUCGGAACAAAUGGUGGAGCGGUGAAAUGCGUAGAUAUCGCUUGGAACGCCAAUGGUGAAAACAGCUCGCUGGGGGUGUGCUGACGCUGAGACACGAAAGCCAGGGGAGCGAACGGG